AAAGUCGUAACAAGGUUUCCGUAGGUGAACCUGCGGAAGGAUCAUUAACGAAUAACUAGAUGUGGUUGUAGCUGGCUUCUAGGAGCAUGUGCACACCCGUCUUCUUAUCUUUCCACCUGUGCACCAAAUGUAGGCUUGGAUAACUCUCGCCCUCGGGCGGAUGCGAGGAUUGUCUUCGGACUCUCCUCGAAUUUCCAAGUCUAUGUCUUUCACAAACCCCAAUGUAAAACGAAGAAUGUAGUCAAUGGGCUUUUAGCCUAUAAAACAAUAUACAACUUUCAGCAACGGAUCUCUUGGCUCUC
rnacentral:misc_RNA from 1 species